ensembl:lncRNA
AUUACUCAGUGUCGCUUUUUGCCCAGGUCUCCACAUCUCUCGUGUCUGUGUGUGUGUUUUCUUUUCAAUAUUGGCACCUGAGCUGACGUGUGUUGCCAAUCCUUGUCAGUUUCAGAGGGUAGAUUUCUCCGUGUUGCUCUUUCCCAAGUUCUCCACGCCCUUGUGUGUUCUUUUUGAUCAAAGAUUGAACCUGAGCUAGCCUCUGUUGCCCAUAUUCGUCAGUUUCAGAGGGUAGAUUUCUCAGUGUUGCUCUUUCCCAGGGUCUCCACGCCCUUCUGUGGUAUUUUUUGCUCAAAUAUUGAACGUGAGCUAGCCUCUGUUGCCCAUAUUCGUCAGUUUCAGAGGGUAGAUUUCUCAGUGUUGCUUUUUCCCCAGGUCUCCACGUCCCUCAGUGUCUGUGUGUGUGUGUUUUCUUUGCAAGAUUGGCACCUUUCCUUACGUGUGUUGCCGAUCUUUGUCAGUUUCAGACGGAAGAUUUCUCAGUGUUGCUGUUUCCCAGGACUGCACACCCUUGUGUUUUGUUUUUGCUUGCACAUUGCCACCUGAGCUAGCCUAUGUAGCCCAUCUUCUUGAGUUUCAGAGGGUACAUUUCUGAAUGUUGCUGUCUACCCAGGUCUUCACGCCCUAGUGUUUUUUGGGGGGUUUUGUUUUAUUUUUUGCUUAAUGAUUGCCACCUGACCUAUCCUGUCCUGCCCAUCUUUGUCGGUUUUAGAGGGUAGAUUACUCAGUGUUGCUUUUUGCCCAGGUCUCCACAUCUCUCGUGUCUGUGUGUGUGUGUGUGUUUUCCUUUCAAUAUUGGCACCUGAGCUGACGUGUGUUGCCAAUCCUUGUCAGUUUCAGAGGGUAGAUUUCUCCGUGUUGCUCUUUCCCAAGUUCUCCACGCCCUUGUGUGUUCUUUUGAUCAAAGAUUGAACCUGAGCUAGCCUCUGUUGACGACCAUGGUCAGUUUCAGAGGGUAGAUUUCUCAGUGUUGCUCUUUCCCAGGGUCUCCACGCCCUUGUGUGGUAUUUUUUGCUCAAAUAUUGAACCUGAGCUAGCCUCUGUUGCCCAUAUUCGUCAGUUUCAGAGGGUAGAUUUCUCAGUGUUGCUUUUUCCCCAGGUCUCCACGCCCUUGUGUUUUGUUUUUGCUUAACGAUUGCCACCUGAGCUAGCCUCUGUUGCCCAUCUUCCUCAGUUUCAGAGGGUAGAUAUUUCAGGGUUGCUUUUUCCCCAGGUCUCCACGCCUUUGUGUUUUGUUUUUGCUUAACGAUUGCCACCUGAGCUAGCCUCUCUUGCCCAUCUUCCUCAGUUUCAGAGGGUGGAUUUCUCCGUGUUGCUUUUUCCCCAGGUCUCCACGCCCUUGUGUGUUUCUUUUGCUUAAAGAUUGCCACCUGAGGUAGCCUCUGUUGCCCAUCCUCGUCAGUUUCAGAGGGUAGAUUUCUCAGUGUUGCUUUUUCCCCAGGUCUCCACGCCUUUGUGUUUUGUUUUUGCUUAACGAUUGCCACCUGAAGCCAGCCUCUCUUGCCCAUCUUCCUCAGUUUCAGAGGGUAGAUAUUUCAGGGUUGCUUUUUCCCCAGGUCUCCACGCCUUUGUGUUUUGUUUUUGCUUAACGAUUGCCACCUGAGCUAGCCUCUCUUGCCCAUCUUCCUCAGUUUCAGAGGGUGGAUUUCUCAGUGUUGCUUUUUCCCAGGUCUCCACGCCCUUGUGUGUUUCUUUUGCUUAAAGAUUGCCACCUGAGCUAGCCUCUGUUGCCCAUCUUCCUCAGUUUCAGAGGGUAGAUUUUUCAGGGUUGCUUUUUGACCGGGUCUCCUCGCCAUUGUAUUUUUUUAUUUUAUUUUUUUUGCUUAAAGAUUGCCACCUGAGCUAGCCUCUGUUGCCCAUCUUCUUCGGUUUCAGAGGGUAGAUUUCUCAGUGUUGCUUUUUCGCCAGCUCUCCACGCCCUUGCGUCUUUUUUUUUUCUGCUUAAAGGUUGCAACCUGAGCUAGCUUCUUUUGCCCAUGUUCGUCAGUUUCAGAGGGUGGAUUUCUCCGUGUUGCUUUUUCCCCAGGUCUCCACGCCCUUGUGUGUUUCUUUUGCUUAACGAUUGCCACCUGAGGUAGCCUCUGUUGCCCAUCCUCGUCAGUUUCAGAGGGUAGAUUUCUCAGUGUUGCUUUUUCCCCAGGUCUCCACGCCCUUGUGUGUUUCUUUUGCUUAAAGUUUGCCACCUGAGGUAGCCUCUGUUGCCCAUCCUCGUCAGUUUCAGAGGGUGGAUUUCUCAGGGUUGCUUUUUCCCCAGGUCUCCACGCCCUUGUGUGUUUCUUUUGCUUAAAGUUUGCCACCUGAAGCCAGCCUCUCUUGCCCAUCUUCCUCAGUUUCAGAGGGUAGAUAUUUCAGGGUUGCUUUUUCCCCAGGUCUCCACGCCUUUGUGUUUUGUUUUUGCUUAACGAUUGCCACCUGAGCUAGCCUCUGUUGCCCAUCUUCCUCAGUUUCAGAGGGUGGAUUUCUCCGUGUUGCUUUUUCCCCAGGUCUCCACGCCCUUGUGUGUUUCUUUUGCUUAAAGAUUGCCACCUGAGCUAGCCUCUGUUGCCCAUCUUCGUCCGUUUCAGAGGGUGGAUUUCUCAGUGUUGCUUUUUCCCCAGCUCCCCACGCCCUUGUGUGUUUCUUUUGCUUAAAGAUUGCCACCUGAGCUAGCCUCUGUUGCGCUUCUUUCUCAGUUUCAGAGGGUAGAUUUCUCCGUGUUGCUUUUUCCCCAGGUCUCCACGCACUUCCUUUUAUUUUUCCUUAAAAAUUGCCACCUGAGCUAGCCUCUGUUGCCCAUCUUCGUCGGUUUCAGAGGGUAGAUUUCUCAGUGUUGCUUUUUCCCCAGGUCUCUACGUGCUUGUGUGUGUGUGUGUGUGUGUGUGUGUGUGUGUGUGUGUUUUCUGCUUAAAGAUUGCCACCUGAGCUAGCCCCUGUUGCCCAUCUUCGUCGGUUUCAGAGGGUAGAUUUCUCAGCGUUGCUUUUUCCCCAG